AGCAAUCGUGAACUCUUGGUCUCUGCCAGGCUAGCAAGAAAUGUGAGGAGCCGUGUUCUGUGGCUCCACACUCAAGUCAGACCCAGCAGGCUUUGAAGGUGAGCAUAAAAGGACUGCAUAAGGAUUCUAAUAUUUAAGCCCAGCUGGAGAAUGUUACAGACCCUGUAGAGCUCCUUCAAGAUGUGACAGGAUUCCUCGUAUUUCCGGCUGUAAAUGCAACCUUUUCAACCUCAAAUAUCCUGCAAUCCUUCAAGUAUUAAGAAAGUUUCAACCUUGGUCUUUUAGUAUGUUUUACUUAACACACCUCCUCAUGUCAUCAGAAGACCUCCCCAAAUCCCGUUACACUGCUCCACUUCUGACCGGAAAGAGCAGAAUCUGAGCUGUGCCUGGGUUAGGCUCAGAGCCAAAUUCCUAAGUCUAUUAAGAACCACCCUAAAAUGACCAAUCACAAGAGAGUCCCAGAGAUCAAAAACCUCAAGAAAUAGAACGGAUCUUCAGCUGUCUUAAGGCAAAAACAUCCUCAAACCCCAUCUUCUCCUGUGGAUCUUAGAACAGACGAAGCAAGGAUGCUGACUUCACGGAUUCUCUCAUUGCUGUCUCCAGAUUGGGUUUGACCAAUGGGAGGAACCAGGAGGAGAUGGAACAGAAGGAGAACAAGAGGAUCACUUCUUAGUUGAUGCAAUUUGGGCAGAGCCUACUUCAUGGUCCUAGUACUCAAGGAGAACAUUUGACCAGGACUCAACGAAGAGAAGACUCCAUCAUCCUGGCCACAGUGAUUGAUUCAGGGCUACACAUGUGGCCCAUGUCUGAGAACUUCUUCAGGAACUACUGGGAAAAGAUGUUUCCUUUCUACCGGGUUUGCUAAGCUGGUACAAUGUAAAUCUGGAUCUGCUGGUGAACAUCUUGCAGGGGAAAGAUCCUGUGUGAGAACGGUGCCCUUAACGAAUGAAGCACUGUCAAAAGUGAGAGAUAGAUAUGAAUAUAUUGCUUGACACCUGAAUACAGUCAUGCCUAAAGUCAUUCUCACAUUUUAAUCAUGAGACCCAAUACAUUUCAUUUCUUGCUUAAGAUGGUUUUAUCUAGGUUUCUAUUUUGAAAAUAAAAGUUCUGAUAAAUAUGCUACCCAACAACAAAAAGGAAAUAAAAGGUGUCAAGUGUCUCAAAUGAUUCAUGCAUUGAUUUAUUUUAAAAGCAUAUAUUGCCCAGGUGUGCUGGCAAUGCACCUGUAGUCCCAGCUAUUCAGGAGUCUGAAACAGGAGGAUCACUUAAGCCCAGGAGUUCAAGUACAGCCUGAGCAACAUAGGAAGACCCUCUCUUUUUUUUUUUUUUUUAAGAAAAAAGCAUAUAUUAAAUACCUAACCUAUACCAUGCUCUAUGUUUGGUAAGGGACACAGAGACAAAUAAGGCACAAUCCUUGCCUUAAAGGUUUACAGUCUAAUUUCCAGUUUGGCAAUCAAAUCAUUGGCACUCGAGAGUUUCAAGAAUUCAAAGGACAGUGGGGAUUCUUGAGCUUAUUUUUAUUAAGAAAUUAAACAGC
rnacentral:lncRNA from 10 species